rnacentral:rRNA from 1 species
UACGAAGGGGGCUAGCGUUGUUCGGAAUCACUGGGCGUAAAGCGCACGUAGGCGGAUCUUUAAGUCAGGGGUGAAAUCCUGGAGCUCAACUCCAGAACUGCCUUCGAUACUGAGAGUCUCGAGUCCGGGAGAGGUGAGUGGAACUGCGAGUGUAGAGGUGAAAUUCGUAGAUAUUCGCAAGAACACCAGUGGCGAAGGCGGCUCACUGGCCCGGUACUGACGCUGAGGUGCGAAAGCGUGGGGAGCAAACAGG